UUUGUUACUUAUUAUCUUUUAAAAGAAAAAAGAGAAAGAGAGAAAAGAAUCCAAAAAAGAAAGUGAAAAGGGAAAAUCAAGAAAUGAGGAAAUCGCACACUUCGUCUUCAUUCUAGUAUAAAGUCACAUACACAUUCUUCACAUUUAUUUAGUAUUUAAGAAACAAAAGAAUUUGAUUAUUAAUAAAAGAAGAGUCUUUCCAUUCUUUAAAUGUGGACCCCUCCCCACUAGUGAACAAAAAUAGGCUAACAACUCUCAUGCACAAUCCAAUUUUAAAAUCACACACACGCCACAUGCGAGAGAAAAACAAGAAAUAUUCUUUUAAGUAGGGACCACACACAUUCUUAUCUGGAUGGCUUUUUCUUGGCCAACACAUACACGCUAAUAUAUAGAGAGGAACGGGGAAAAGGGGGUUGGAGAGGAAAAACGAAAGGGAGGGGACAGAUCUGGGGAACGAAAGGGCUAGGGAUCGCACAAAAACACAGAGCUAUCUUCUUCCUUUCCCAAGCACAAAAACACAAAGUUUCAACACCAUGUAAAUUCUCCAUAGCCUAUUACAUCCAUCUAUGAAAGAAGCUCCAUUGCUUCACCAUUAAACCAUCACAAAUAAGCCCCAAAAUCACCACAAAAACACCUCGUGUAAACCACUUGAAGCCAUCUUAAAUUCAAGUGAAACCUCGUUCUACAGUUCCGGCGGAAACAGAGGUGAGUGAACGACCAACUGCUGGUCAUUUUCGAGUCGAGCCGACGAGCUUUUCGUUAGAUUCGAGCAUGUUGAAAGAAAUCACGAUCCGCUUGUGAUGAUGGAAAGAGAACUUCUUGAGCUACAGUAUGUACAAAAAUAAGACAUGUCAAAACCAUGUUCCACUUAUGCCAUUAGAAAGAAGACUGCUGAAGCAACAAUAUCCACAAAAAUCAGGAUUGAUGAACCAAAUGUGAAAAGAGUUGCUGAGGUGAUUCCAGAAACAUUUGUAGGAUCCAAAUACAAAGAGUGUUGCAUCUGAACUACCUACAUCUACUCCUAAUGAGUCAAAUAUUCUUCCUAUUGAAACUACAAAUGUUUUAUCAACACUAGCAACAGAAGAGCAAGUUGAGAUUGCAUCCAUAGCUGGAGUGUUGGUUGCUAAAUCGGAGGAGCCUAAUGAAGUCGGUGAUUUAGGUGGUGGUUCAGAGGAAAUUGGAGCAUUUGGUGCUACAUCUAAUUAGCCUAAUGAAGUAGGUGACCCAGAUGUGCCUGCAUCUACUUCCAAUGAGUCAGUUAUUCUUCUUGUUGAAACUUCAAAUGUUUUAACAACGGCAGUAAUGGAGGAGUAAGUUGAGAUUGCUUUCACGGCUGAAGCAUUGGUUGCUAGAUCCAAACAGCCUAAUGAAGUAGGUGUGUGAUGACCCGGCUGGUUGUCUUAAGAAUUAACGCCCCGAUCCCCUAUUAACCGCUUUCCCCAAGUUUAAUUAUGCUAUUUUGAUUUGCCGGGAUGUUCGGUUUUA